ACUGCAAAGGGCUAACAGUUCAAGAUCACUGCCACCACUUUCCCAAGAAUAUCUCCGGAGAGAUUGCUCAGGAGACUUGAAGAGGAAUGUAAUAGAAUAAUUAUGCAUGAAGCAUUGAUAAAUGCUCACCAUCUUUAGAGUAGUACAGGUUGUGCUAGAUCUUCAGCUAGACAGAGAACUGAGACUCGAAGAGAGAGAGAACAAGACGAGAGGGAGCGGAGGGAAGAAGGGGAGAAACGGAAAUGGAUGCUCCUGUGUGAAACCAGGUGGGAACCUCAAAUCAUUCCAUGGGCUAGCCUCUGAGUACCUCUAAUCCAAGCCUGCCAAGGCUCAGUUGAUAUACUCCUGCAUCGUCGGAGAUGGACCCCACAUAUUUUCAACAAUAUUUCUUUGGUCCUAACAAGAUACAUUUUAAGUCCAAAUAACCUGUAAAUUCAAAGCUUAUUUUCUACAUUUAAGAAAUAUGCCCAUACAGGUUCUAUUAUACAUGGCCAUAGAUCCAGGAAAUACUAUUUGACUACCUACUCUGUGUCGGGUUUGUGCAAGACUAUUGUUUUAUAAUUUCAUAUUCAAUCCUAUCAGCCAGGCUCUGCUGUUUGUCCUAUUUUCUUCUU
ensembl:lncRNA